rnacentral:rRNA from 1 species
CGACACGGGGAGGUAGUGACAAUAAAUACUGAUACAGGGCUCUUUUGGGUCUUGUAAUUGGAAUGAGUACAAUUUAAACCUCUUAACGAGGAACAAUUGGAGGGCAAGUCUGGUGCCAGCAGCCGCGGUAAUUCCAGCUCCAAUAGCGUAUAUUAAAGUUGUUGCAGUUAAAAAGCUCGUAGUUGAAACUUGGGUCUGGCAGGCAGGUCCGCCUCACCGCGUGUACUUGUCCCGCCGGGCCUUCCUUCUGGAGAACCUCAUGCCCUUCACUGGGCGUGUUGGGGACCAGGACUUUUACUUUGAAAAAAUUAGAGUGUUCAAAGCAGGCCUUUGCUCGAAUACGUUAGCAUGGAAUAAUAGAAUAGGACGUGCGGUCCUAUUUUGUUGGUUUCUAGGACCGCCGUAAUGAUUAAUAGGGACAGUCGGGGGCAUCAGUAUUCAAUUGUCAGAGGUGAAAUUCUUGGAUUUAUUGAAGACUAACUACUGCGAAAGCAUUUGCCAAGGAUGUUUUCAUUAAUCAGUGAACGAAAGUUAGGGGAUCGAAGACGAUCAGAUACCGUCGUAGUCUUAACCGUAAACUAUGCCGACUAGGGAUCGGGCGAUGUUCUUUUUCUGACUCGCUCGGCACCUUACGAGAAAUCAAAGUUUUUGGGUCU